UAGUACGGCGAGUGAGAGGGAAGAGCCCAAGAUUGAAAGCUGGCGCCUUCGGCGUCCGCAUUGUAAUCUCAAGAAGUGUUUUCCGCUUCGGACCAUGCCUAAGUCCCUUGGAAAAGGGCAUCAUAGAGGGUGAUAAUCCCGUACAUGGCAUGGAGCGCCCGAAGCUUUGUGAUACGCUUUCUAAGAGUCGAGUUGUUUGGGAAUGCAGCUCAAAAUGGGUGGUAAAUGCCAUCUAAGGCUAAAUAUUGGGGAGAGACCGAUAGCGAACAAGUACAGUGAUGGAAAGAUGAAAAGAACUUUGAAAAGAGAGUUAAACAGUACGUGAAAUUGCCAAAAGGGAAGGGUAGGAGGUCAGAGAUGCGUCGCAGGAUUCAGCCUUGCUUUUGCUUGGUGUUUUUCCUGCGUUGCAGGCCAACGUCGGUUUUGGGCACUGGAGAAGGGUAGGAGGAACGUGGCACCUCUCGGGGUGUGUUAUAGCCUCCUACUGGAUACAGCGACCGAGACCGAGGAACGCAGCGUACUCGUAAGAGCGGGCCUUUUGGCACCUUUACGCUUAGGGCGUUGGCAUAAUGGCCCUCUACCACCCGUCUU
rnacentral:rRNA from 1 species